CAUGAGCAUGGUCCAGGGAUCGGCCAGGCGGCUGCAGACCGCCUGAGGGGGCUCCGCGCGCUGGCUCAGCCCCGGCGCGCGGGA
rnacentral:tRNA from 1 species